UUAUACCAACCUCGGAAAUUAUACUCUCGGAUACUAUUGUUGGGCUAUUGUAGUUGUGUUUUGAAAUCGAUGGAGUGCAGCUACUUAGUUGUAGUAGCUUUAAAAAAAUCGAAUUGUAGUGUUUUUCCAGUACAAAAUGAUGCUGUAAUGCGAAAACCAUAUCAUUUAGCUGGGUUCCACCGAUGGCGUAAAACAAAACAACCUACGGAAUCUAAUCAGUAUCACUUUGGUAAUUAUGUUUUUCAAUCUGAUUUUACUAACUAUUGUUUUUUUAGGUUUUUCAACUAUAAUCCAUUUUUUUCGACGAGGAAGAUGCCUUUUAACCUGGAUUAUUAUAAACAAGUGAUUAGCAUGUGUACGCAGCCAAAAUGCCUACGCGCAUCCCAAAUCACACUCCCUAGGAACCUAUGGAAAAUGAACCAAAUUUAUACCAACCUCGGAAAUUAUACUCUCUCACACAAUACUCUCGGAUACUAUUGUUGGGCUAUUGUAGUUGUGUUUUGAAAUCGAUGGAGUGCAGCUACUUAGUUAUAGUAGCUUAAAAAAAAUCGAAUUGUAGUGUUUUUCCAGUACAAAGUGAUGCUGUAAUGCGAAAACCAUAUCAUUUAGCUGGGUUCCACCGAUGGCGUAAAACAAAACAACCUACGGAAUCUAAUCAGUAUCACUUUUGGUAAGUAUGUUUUUCAAUCUGAUUUUACUAACUAUUGUUUUUUUUAGGUUUUUCAACUAUAAUCCAUUUUUUUCGACGAGGAAGAUGCCUUUUAACCUGGAUUAUUAUAAACAAGUGAUUAGAGGCGAAUGAACUGCAAAGUUUAAAGCCUCUUAAAAACAAAGAAAGAAGAACAAGUGAUUAGCAUGGCGAGUUCCAAUAUAACCGUCUGAGCGUGUUUUUCCAUAAUUUUUUUCUCCUGAUUUAGUUUAUGUACAUAGCUCUCUAAUUGUCCUCAUUUUCCAUCUUCGUGAUUUUUUUUUUUAAUUAAGCUGCUAUGCUUAAUGUUGGUGUUUUUAUACAUAGCUUCUUGUUUUUCAUCAUUAACGUCUUUGCGUGUUUUCUUAUUAAGUUACCACCCUUAAUUUAGUUUGUAUACAUAGCUUGAAAUAAUCAUUCUUAAAUUUUUUUAAGUUGUGAAACGUGGUAUAAUCCAAUCGUUUUUCCAUUCAAAUCUGCCAAUAAAUAGCAAAAAUCUCCCACUUUCUUUUUAA